rnacentral:lncRNA from 1 species
GAGUGGCAUUCGAUAAAGUUAAAGUGAAAUGACACUAGAGAUAGUGUGAGGAAAAGAACCAGUGUAAUGUAAAGAAUGAUGAAAAUGACAAUGUUAAAGUUAAAGUAAUGUGGGAAGUAAAGAACAUGAAGUGCUAGAGGUAGCCAAAAGUAAAGAAUGUAAAGAAUACGAUUGCUAGAGUUAGCAAAGAUAAAGAAAUGUAAAGAAUGUGAUUGCAUGAGUUUGCAACAUAAAGUGAUGUAAAGAACACUAGAGCUAGUGUAAAGUCAAGAUUGAACUUAAAAUCCUUUGAGUUAAGG